AUUGAACGCUGGCGGCAUGCCUUACACAUGCAAGUCGAACGGAAACGGGCCUUUGGGUGCCGACGAGUGGCGUACGGGGGAGUAAUACAUCGGUACGUUCCCGAUCGUGGGGGGUAACGAGGCCAAAGCUUGGCUAAUACCUCAUACGAUCUACGGAUGAGAGCAGGGGACCGCAAGGCCUUGCGCGGACGGAUCGGCCGGUGGAAGGUUAGGUAGAUGGGGGGAUAAAAGCUUACCAAGCCGACGAUCUGUAGCUGGUAUGAGAGGAUGACCAGCCACACGGGGAGGGAGACAGGGCACAGACGCCGAGGGGAGGCAGCAGUGGGGAAUUUUGGGCGAUGGGGGAGAGCCUGAUCCAGCGAUGCCGCGUGCAGGAUGAAGGCGUUAGGGUUGUAAACUGAUUUUGUACGGAAGGAAAAGAAAUCUUUUAAUACAGGAGGGUAAUGACGGUACCGGAAGAAUAAGCACCGGCUAACUACGUG
rnacentral:rRNA from 1 species